rnacentral:rRNA from 1 species
AGUAAAAUCUGCUCUAUGAAAAUUAAAUGGCCGCAGAAUUUUUACUGUGCUAAGGUAGCAUAAUCAUUUACCUUUUAAUUAAAGGUUUGUAUGAAAGAUUUAACAUUUAAAUUACUUUUUUAUUUAAAUAUUUUUAAAUUUUAAUUAAAUAUAAAAAUGUAUUUAUUUUUUAAAAAGACGAUAAGACCCUAUUGAACUUUACUAUUGUUAAGCUGGGGAAGCUAGUUAAAUAUAAUUUUAAUUUUUAAUAUUAAAAAUAUUUCUAAUAAAAUUAAGCAUAAAAGUUACCAUAGGGAUAACAGCGUUAUACUAUUUUAAAGAUCAUAUUAAAAAUAUUGUUUACGACCUCGAUGUUGAAUUAAAAUUCCUUAAAAACGCAAUAGUAAAAGAGGAGGUCUGU